rnacentral:rRNA from 1 species
UAGGGAAUCUUCGGCAAUGGACGAAAGUCUGACCGAGCAACGCCGCGUGAGUGAAGAAGGUUUUCGGAUCGUAAAACUCUGUUGUUAGAGAAGAACAAGGACGUUAGUAACUGAACGUCCCCUGCCGGUAUCUAACCAGAAAGCCACGGCUAACUACGUGCCAGCAGCCGCGGUAAUACGUAGGUGGCAAGCGUUGUCCGGAUUUAUUGGGCGUAAAGCGAGCGCAGGCGGUUUCUUAAGUCUGAUGUGAAAGCCCCCGGCUCAACCGGGGAGGGUCAUUGGAAACUGGGUGACUUGAGUGCAGAAGAGGAGAGUGGAAUUCCAUGUGUAGAGGUGAAAUGCGUAGAUAUAUGGAGGAACACCAGUGGCGAAGGCGGCUCUCUGGUCUGUAACUGACGCUGAGGCUCGAAAGCGUGGGGAGCAAACAGG